rnacentral:piRNA from 1 species
CACAGAAAUGACCUACAAAGCCUAAUUGCAGU